rnacentral:rRNA from 1 species
UACGUAGGGGGCAAGCGUUGUCCGGAAUUAUUGGGCGUAAAGAGCGUGUAGGCGGUCCGGUAAGUCAGCUGUGAAAGUCAAGGGCUCAACCCUUGAAUGCCGGUUGAUACUGUCGGGCUAGAGUCCGGAAGAGGCGAGUGGAAUUCCCGGUGUAGCGGUGAAAUGCGCAGAUAUCGGGAGGAACACCAAGGCGAAGGCAGCUCGCUGGGACGGUACUGACGCUGAGACGCGAAAGCGUGGGGAGCAA